rfam:Triticum aestivum genome assembly, contig: Triticum_aestivum_CS42_TGACv1_scaffold_513360_6BS
UUUAUACUCCCUCCAUCCAGAAAUACUUGCCGGUGAAAUGGAUGUAUCUAGACGUAUUUUAGUUCUAAAUACAUCCAUUUUUAUUCAUUUCUUCGAGAAGUAUUUUCGGACGGAGGGAGUAGAAC